rnacentral:rRNA from 1 species
UAAGAGCAUUAAAAAUUAGGUAAUAAAGGAGUUUCCGAAACCUAAAGGACUUGGCGGUAUUUUAAAUAAUUGGAGGAACUUGUUGUUUAAUUGAAACUACACAACAAAUCUUUCCUUGUUUUUGCUUGUAUAUCAUUGUUUAAAGACAACAUUUUCUAAUAUAGUCUAAAUUAAAUUUAUUCAAAAAAUCAAAUCAAGGCGCAGCAUAAUAAGGUUACAAUGAGUUACAACGAAAUUUAUUCAAGACGGAGAUAAAAAUUAAAAAUAUAUUGAAGGUGGAUUCAAAAAUAAUGAAAAAUUAAAAAGUUUUUGUGAAUGAUAAUUUAAAAUAUGC